AAUCCAUGAUUCAAAGAUUUCUUUUCCUAUGUCCAACGACUUCUACUGAAACUCUGCAACCAUACAAUAACAAAGUAAAGUAGGAAAUCACAUCAUACUAACACAACAACAACAACAACAACAACCAUUCAAUGGCUUCCUUUCCAUUCUCUCCCCUUUUCCCUUCACUCUUCCUCCUCCUCCUCCUCCAUCAACCUCUAUUUUCCACUGCAAAUCUACACAAACUCAACCUCCUCAGACCACAGAUUCUCACCGAGCAAACACCUAUUGAGGUCACCCCACCUACUGUCUUCUUCGAAGUAACCAAACCUAUUGAGCUUCCAAACACCAAACCCUGUUCCCAUCUCAUUCUCCAGCAUGACUUUGGCUACACAUAUGGCCAAUCACCGGUCUUAGUAAACUAUACCCCUCCUUCACAUUGCCCAUCGCGGAAAUUCUCCAGGAUCGUCCUCGAGUGGAAAGCAACUUGUAAAGGAAGGCAAUUUGAUCGCAUUUUUGGAGUUUGGCUUGGUGGAAUUGAGCUCCUCCGUAGCUGUACUGCAGAGCCAAGAGCCACUGGGAUUGUUUGGAGUGUUGAGAAGGACAUUACGAGGUAUUAUUCCUUGCUUUUGAAGAAUCAAACACUAGCUGUUUAUCUUGGCAAUCUUGUGGAUAGAACUUAUACUGGGGUCUACCAUGUUAAUAUAUCGCUACAUUUUUAUCCUGCUGAUGAACAUUUCGAUAAUGAUUUGCAUAACCGGCAUGAUUUGGUAUCUGGGUACGAUUCCUGGGCCGAUUUGGUACUGCCCAUUUCUCGAAAACUGCCUUUGAAAGCUGGGUUGUGGUUUGAAAUUGAGAAUUCAACGGAUACAGCUUUAAGGGAAUUUAUAAUUCCCAAAAAUGUUUACAGGGCUGUUUUGGAGGUCUAUGUUUCAUUUCAUGAAAAUGAUGAAUUUUGGUAUUCUAAUCUUCCAAAUGAGUAUAUUGCUUCAAACAACCUAAGUGAUACGCCCGGAAAUGGGCCUUUUAGGGAAGUUGUAGUUGGUCUUGAUGAUGAAGUUGUUGGUGCUAUAUGGCCUUUUACUGUGAUCUAUACUGGAGGAAUCAAUCCCCUCUUAUGGAGACCGAUUACGGGCAUUGGGUCGUUCGAUCUUCCUUCUUAUGACAUAGAUAUUACACCUUUUCUUGGAAAAAUUUUAGAUGGAAAGUUCCACAACAUUGGUUUUAGGGUCACUAACGCCUUGAAUGUUUGGUAUAUUGAUGCUAACCUGCAUCUUUGGUUGGAUAAAAUGUCUGCGAAAACUGAAGGAAAGCUUUCUAAGCAUAUUAGCUUGCCUCUUGCUGUUUCGAUGGAAUAUAAGUUUAAUGGUUUGGAUGGGACAUUUUUGACGAGUGUAGGACGGUCUGUGUUGUCAACUGGAUGGGUUAAAUCCUCCUAUGGCAAUAUCACGACUCAUUCUGUGCAAGACCUUUAUUACAGUAAUUUAAUAGUAUUGGGGAAUGAUGGGGAUAUGCAGACGGUGAAUCAGACUAUCUAUUUCAAUGACUCUGUUCAUGCCGAGACACCAUCAUCAUAUGUUUACUCGUUGACAUCAAACAAAACAUUUUCUCUUUACUUGUAUUCUAACGAUCUGGAUCAGGGAAAUGGGACUUAUUUAUCUGUUGCAAACGUUACUUUAGGAUUUGAUGAGAAGUCAUCCAAGGAUGCUGGUUUAGGACUUUCAAAGUCCUCUUUGACAAAUCUGCAGAAUGGUCAGGGUUAUAUGGUUGUUAAGGACCAUCUGGUAUCUAGCGGGGUUGGGAGCACACAAGAAGUGUACUCAUAUGUUGGAUCCGAAUCCUGUUACUUCAGAAAUAUAAGCUGCUCAAACUAUACCAUUCUUUAUGAUGAAGUUGGAUAUGCAUGCCAGGAAAAGAAACAAUCUCAUCUGGGUUCCGGGUUAAAUAAAUGGUGGCCAUUUCCUGCGCGAAAGGCUCUUCUAACGUCUGACUUGCUAGUUAACAAUAAAGGAGUUUAGAUUACUCGUCUGGGUGGUUCGACAAAUGCUUCACAUAAGCCCUUCAUUUGUAAGUCGUUCCAGAGGAUUCCUGCAAGUGGAUGCCCCGAAUAAUAAUAGCUAGGAUCAUUGCUGAGCUUGAAGGUUGCCAUUCUUCAAGACAUUAUCUUAGGAAAGAAGCCUACAAUUCAAAAAAGGAAGUUAUUGAAAAAUCCCCUGAAUCUGGGUUGACUGAGAACGUUUGAAGAGUUUAGGGGACCAAAGAAAAAGUCUAAGCUCCCAAAGAUAUUGUCCAAGUUGAGAGGUAAAAUUCAUGUGCCGAAGGAGUUCUUCACCUACAAUUUCUGCUCGAAAGAUGUGUUGCUAAAGCUGCAACUUGAGAAGUUAUUUUAUGAUUUAUUAUGAUUCAGCAAAUAAUAUAAUUUACCAUUA